rnacentral:rRNA from 1 species
AUUAUGCUACCUUUGCACAGUUAGAAUACUGCGGCCAUUUAAAAUUUUUCAGUGGGCAGGUUAGACUUUAAAUUUAAUUCAAAAAGACAUGUUUUUGUUAAACAGGCGGAUAUUAUUUUUGCCGAAUUCUUUAUUUAAACUUAUCACUUAAAUUUAUUUUACAAUAAAAUAUACUAAUUCUAUCAUUAUUACUUAAUUUUAAAAAUUAAAAUUAAUAUUUCGAUAAAAAUUUAAAAUAUAAUAAAUAAUUUAAUUUAUAAAAUAAAUUAUAACACAAUUUUUAAUAAUUGCUAAUUCUAAGCAUAUAUUUUUUAAAUUUAUUUAUUAUUUAUAAAAAUUUAUUUUAUAGCUUAUCCCAUAAAAUAUUAAAAUUACAAAUUAUUUAAUUAAAAAAAUUUUUUAAAUAAUUUACAAUUUCUAAAUUAAAUUUAUUUCUCGAAAAACUAGAUACCUUCAAAAACGAAUAACAUUUCAUUUCUAAUAUAAUAUUUAAAAUAAUUUUAUUACAUUAACUUUUAUAUUAUAUUAACUCUUUUAAAAUCGAGAAAAAUAUAUUUAAAUAUUUUUUAUUUAAUAAACGCUGAUACACAAGGUACAAUAAAUUAAAUUUUCUUUUAAAAUAAAAAUUUUUCAAAAUAUUUCAAUUUUCUUUUACAAUACUAUUAAACUAUUAUUAAAAUUAUUUUUUCUUUAAACAAUACUAAAACUUUUUCUAAUAUAAUUGAUUUUAAUACUUUUGAAUAAAAUUUAUAAAAUUAAUAAAUAAAAUCUAA